GUGGGGAAUCUUGCGCAAUGGGCGAAAGCCUGACGCAGCCAUGCCGCGUGAAUGAUGAAGGUCUUAGGAUUGUAAAAUUCUUUCACCGGGGACGAUAAUGACGGUACCCGGAGAAGAAGCUCCGGCUAACUUCGUGCCAGCAGCCGCGGUAAUACGAAGGGGGCUAGCGUUGCUCGGAAUUACUGGGCGUAAAGGGCGCGUAGGCGGACAGCUUAGUCAGAGGUGAAAGCCCAGGGCUCAACCUUGGAAUUGCCUUUGAUACUGGCUGUCUUGAGUUUGGGAGAGGUGAGUGGAACUCCGAGUGUAGAGGUGAAAUUCGUAGAUAUUCGGAAGAACACCAGUGGCGAAGGCGACAUACUGGUCCAUUACUGACGCUGAGGCUCGAAAGCGUGGGGAGCAAACAGGAUUAGAAACCCCGGUAGUCC
rnacentral:rRNA from 1 species